CCGCUUCGGUCGAAGGACGGUUCCCCCGCCGCCACGCGGCAGGGGGCGAAGAGGGAAUGCGAAGGGCCGACCCAAUCCGGGGGUCUUGAUCGCAGCCGACCCCGCGACUGUAGAGCGGCGAGAAGUCGUCACCGACGUGAGGCAAGCAUGACGCGCGCCCGCGCCGGAAAAGCCACUGGAGCAAUCCGGGAAGGCGAGACGACGUUCGAAGACCCGCGAGCCAGGAGACCUGCCGGCCUUCCAGACCCGUC
rnacentral:ncRNA from 2 species